rnacentral:lncRNA from 1 species
GCCUUCUUUGUAUAUUUUGUCCUUCCUUGUCGGGUUGAUGUCUUUAAAGGGGAAAUAAUCUGUGAAGCAGUAGUUAAUUGGAAAUUUAGGGCGGUAUUAAUGAAUUUGUCUUGAGGACAGUAGUUGAUUGAAAAUUUUGUGUUUUUUAACUGGUAGUAUUUAGUAUUUCUUUUGGCUAAGAAAGUCAGAGUAGGAUAAUUUUUUAUUUUUUUUAAUAAGCUGUUAAGUUGUAGGUUUACCCAUUGUUCCCAUAUUGUGGAAAGGUUACGAAUCUAUUAAGUUUUGCUGUUUAGUUCCUUCAUUUUUUAGGGAAGUUAAAUGAUUUUUGAAUCCAUAUCCUAGAUUCAGGGGGGGUUAUUUUUAAUAUAUCUUGUGUCAUGCUUGAGUUAGUAAAAGACGUUGCCAGUCUUAUCCAGGGGAGUUAUAAGUUCUCUAGUGUCCCUUGUCGGAACUAAAGUUCCUCCUUUUUAAGAUGGAGGGGGGUGUUGUGUAAUUGCCCAGUAGUUCUAGGGGGUUUCCUCUGUCUGGUGUGAUCUACUGGUAAAGAGCGGAGAGAUCCGAAUGGUGACGUGUAUGGCCUGGUAGAGACUGGAGAGCCCCGAAUGGAGACAUGACACAAGAGUCACGCUUGACCGGAUGCAGCCUCUUCUUGACCUGGAUGAUCACGGAAUAAACCUAUCUACAAAUAGACGAGAUAAAUCCCUGUAGGAAGCUAAACCAUAAG